CCAUGUCAGCCUUGCUUUUCCCUCGUCUCUUUCCUCCCUCCCUUUCUCUUAUUUUAGGCUGCUUACCUUCUUCCCUUUUCUCUCUUUCUCUCUCUUUUGCAGGUUUUGUUCCUUUCAACACGCCAUUUCAGAAUUUGCUCUCAAUAUGAUCUUCUCGUUCAUUCAGCAAAAUCGUUCCUAAUUUGUGGAUGGUACUCAUCUUUUCUUCCUGAUUCUCGAAAAUUAGGUUCUGAUUUUCGUUUGUUUUUUAUGCAAAAUUAAGGUUUUGUUAUUCAUUUUAUUAGAAAUUGAUGGUUCUCACUCAUCUUUUCCUCCUGAUCCUCGAAAAUUAGGUUCUGAUUUUCGUUUGUUUUUUUAUGAAAAAUUAGCGUUUUGUUAAUCAUUUUUUUUAGGAUGAAAUUUCGUUAAAAUCAGUUUGAUGAGGCUGGAAAAGAACCGAUUAUCAGUUUGUUUCAUUUUGGUAAAUUUUGCAUUGAUUUUCGUUUAAACUUUACUUCUUUUUUUUUUUUGUUUUUUUUUAAUAUUGUUUUAACAUUCUUUUUGGGUACUGUUGUUUUGUUUUGAUUUGGACUCAAAAACUGUGGGUUUUCUUCAGAAUUUGAUGCUUUGUUUUCCUUUGUGCACAUCGUCAUCAGCAGGUAAGCAUCAAAGAACAAUUUAUUUUAGGGUUGUAGAACUUUUUGUAUUUUGCCUUUUCGUCUCUGUCAUAUUCCACAUGCUUUGAUUUUCAUUUCAGUUUUUUAUUGUGAAUCAACUGGCAAUGAAAACAAAAAUAGGCAAACAUUGUCAUCAACAAGUGAAAGCUUUUUUUGCUGUGAUUGCGCUGCUUUAGUUUUCCUUAGAAUGGUUGUUCAUGAUCAUGAUAAUCUUUUUGUUGCUACUGAAGCUGUUCACGCUAUUGGGAUUGUUCUUACUAUAAACUUACGAAGGAGAAAACUUGUGCUGGUUAGUGUCUCUUUCCUCAAUGGAAUUGCAUUGGAUCUUAUGCCUUUCGAGAUCAAAAAUGGCAACUCAUCUUCCAUUAUCCAUAAUAACAACUCGUUUUAUUUUCUCAAUUCUUCCAUUAUUUCUUUAAUGGUGACAUAAUUGUAUUUUACUUUAACUAUUAUCUGAGGGAGGAUUGAAGUCAUCUGUAAGUUCUCUCUCCGAUCUAGCUAUCAUCUGUCAGUAUUGGUUUUUAUUUUAGUAAAUAUUUUAAAUAAAAUUACGAGUUUGGCUAAGUUUGAGAUGUUGGAUUUUGGCUACAAUUGGAGGUUUUAUGCAUGCUUAAUUCGAUUAAGAUGUUGAGUUUGGCUAAAAGUUAGAAUUUAGAUUUUGCAUAUAUUUAAUCGUAAAGAUAGUAGUGCACUGUUUUUUUCAUUUGCUAAAAAUAAUAAUUCUUAUUUUUCUUAUAGAAUUUGAUGGAUUGUUGGUGUAGGUCUCAUAAAUUGAUUUCUUUGAUUUCCCAUGGGCAAAUAGCUGCCUGCUGUAUAAUCAGAAAUUGGGAACAAAAUGUUCAGUAAUUUUACCAAUUCUUGUGUUGUCUUUGUAUUUUCUAGCUCACAGCUUGCAGCUGUUUGGGUUGUAUGAUUUGUGUAUAAAAUCAUUGAUAGGGAAGUUAUGAAGCUCUUAGGGCUCACCCACACAAAUUGUGGAUGCGAUAUUAUUGUCUUGACCUGUAUAAAUGGACUCUUGAAUUUUUUAUAUUAAAACUAGAUUUCAUGAAUUUACUACAUGUUUUGCAGUUAAGGAAACUAAUAGUGUUCUCUUGAUAAGCUUACUGAGGAUACUCUCCAACAUGCAUGAUAGGUGAUGCAGUUUACUACUAGCAAAUGAUUGUUUAAUACCUAAAUUAGCUUUAAGAUAAUUCCUAUUGAUCCUUCUUAGCUUUUAAUCAAGUUUGUCAUUGCUCACGGUAAUUUUGGUACUGUUCAUCGUGGUGUUUAUGAUGGUCUUGAUGUUGCAGGUUUUUCUCAUUUCAUCAUUUACUUGUGCUGCUUAAUUCUUUGCAUUCAUUUAAUUAUUUAAGCAUUGGUUUACAAUCUUAAUUUUUUGGGAAUGCUUUAAAUUAUUUUUCACUUUUAAUUUUGUUAGUUCUUGAGUUAACUAAUUUCUCUUGUUGGCUUAAAGGUCAUGAGUUAUGUUACCAAAGACCACUGGAAUUUCAAGUUUGGAUUCAUUUUCUGAAAUUUGUAUAUUGUUAGAGUUUCCUUUUUCCAUAGUUGAAUUCUUUUUCUGAGUUUUCCAUUUCCUUUAACAAGCAAUUCGUAUCAAUUUACAGUUUCUGAUCUUAGCAAUUUCUGACUUGAAUUCACUUUCUGAAUUUGCAGAAUUUUAGAUUUAGCAAUUUAUCAAUUUCACGGACGUGAAUCUCGGUCUCAAUUUGUUGAUUUUUGUUGUCAAUUUGUUUCAGAAACAUGAAUCUCGUUCUCAACCUUGCGAUAGAGAUCUCUCGUUGUCGACAUCUUCGUCAUCCAGGAAUAAGAUUAGCUGCUGCUAAUGAAGCCUUCAAGGAUCUCAACAACAAGGCCAAGUCUGCUAAUUAGUGUGGAUGCUGUGCUGGUUGCUGAUCUACUAUUCGUAAGGUGUUGGCUGCGAUCAUCAAACUUGAAAGUGUAUAGAAUAUACUAAAGAUUGUUCAGCUUUCUUCUUGUUUAUUAGCCAUUAAAAUACGUUCUAGAAUUGUGAAUGCAGGAACAAUUGAAAUUAUCAGUCCCACCUAUGAUCAACAAAAACAUUUUCCCGCAUGUUUUUGGCAUGUUAUCAUCAAACUUGGUCGAGUAUUUACCUUAAUGAUAAAGCUAUCUAAAUAAAUAACAAAUCAAUACUUUUGAGCAA